rnacentral:lncRNA from 1 species
CAAACUGUGAAAAGACCAACAGCUGUUACUGAGCUAAGAAGAACUAAAGGAUUUACAGGCCGGAGCAAGACGGGAGAAUGAGUCCAGACUCUGUGGCCCAGUGCAGGACACUCUGACAGACAAACCUUACUUCAUUCAGCUUACCAUAUUGGCUGAGACUGUUGAAACUGCAUGAAGAUGAACUUCUUCCUUAGUGCAAUCUUAUUUCCUCUUGUUUGCCUUAUAGAUGUUAGCCUAUAAUAAAUAACUUAUAUCCCAAAUAUCGUCAUGCUA